UACGUAGGGUGCGAGCGUUGUCCGGAAUUACUGGGCGUAAAGGGCUCGUAGGUGGCCAACUAAGUCAGACGUGAAAUCCCUCGGCUUAACCGGGGAACUGCGUCUGAUACUGGAUGGCUUGAGUUUGGGAGAGGGACGCGGAAUUCCAGGUGUAGCGGUGAAAUGCGUAGAUAUCUGGAGGAACACCGGUGGCGAAGGCGGCGUCCUGGACCAACACUGACACUGAGGAGCGAAAGCCGGGGGAGCAAACGGG
rnacentral:rRNA from 1 species